AACGAACGCUGGCGGCAGGCUUAACACAUGCAAGUCGAACGAGAUCUUCGGAUCUAGUGGCAGACGGGUGAGGAACACGUGGGAACAUCCCUUUCAGUUCGGAAUAACGUUGGGAAACUAACGCUAAUACCGGAUACGUCCUUCGGGAGAAAGAUUUAUCGCUGAAAGAUUGGCCCGCGUCUGAUUAGCUAGUUGGUGAGGUAACGGCUCACCAAGGCUACGAUCAGUAGCUGAUCUGAGAGGAUGAUCAGCCACAUUGGGACUGAGACACGGCCCAAACUCCUACGGGAGGCAGCAGUGGGGGAUAUUGGACAAUGGGCGCAGGCCUGAUCCAGCCAUGCCGCGUGAGUGAUGACGGCCUUCGGGUUGUAAAGCUCUUUUGUCCGGGAAGAUAAUGACUGUACCGGAAGAAUAAGCCCCGGCAAACUUCGUGCCAGCAGCCGCCGUAA
rnacentral:rRNA from 1 species